AUACUUACCUAGGGAUCAAUGGGCGAUCAGUAAGACCCAUGGCCUAGGCUUGUGGCCUCCACUCCACUGCACUUUGGAGGGGUGCCUGCCUAAGGUUGGCUCAAGUGGUUGAGCCUAUGUCAUAAGGGC
rnacentral:snRNA from 10 species